AUAAGCGGCUUUGUCACGUUGAAUACACUAGUUUUCUUUGGAUCACUGAAGUUAAGCAACGUCAAGCGUGGAUAGUACUUGGAUCGGUGACCACCUUGGUCCUAGUAUUUCACAUGCUGCUGGCU
rnacentral:rRNA from 1 species